CAGUCGCCACGGUAAUACGAAGGGGGCUAGCGUUGCUCGGAAUUACUGGGCGUAAAGGGCGCGUAGGCGGAUGUUUAAGUCAGAGGUGAAAGCCCAGGGCUCAACCUUGGAACUGCCUUUGAUACUGGACAUCUUGAGUAUGGGAGAGGUGAGUGGAACUCCGAGUGUAGAGGUGAAAUUCGUAGAUAUUCGGAAGAACACCAGUGGCGAAGGCGACUCACUGGCCCAUUACUGACGCUGAGGCGCGAAAGCGUGGGGAGCAAACAGGAUUAGAUACCCCAGUAGUCCCUGUCUCUUAUAC
rnacentral:rRNA from 1 species